UGGCCUAUGGUGUAACUGGCUAACACAUCUGUUUUUGGUACAGAAGAGUCUAGGUUCGAAACCUAGUAGGCCAACCA
rnacentral:tRNA from 3 species